CCGAAAGCUAAGUUCGAAUUUAUUCGAAACAAGCUUGGAGUACAUGGAAAAUUUAUUAAUUAGCAUUGAGGAGGAGUGUUAAAAGCAAUGCUAAUUAAAAUAAAAUAUACAAAAUAAAAAUAAAACAUGUGUUUAAUGUUGGACGUUAGUGUGAAAAUUAAAUUUAAGAAAUUAAACAUGUGAGUCAAAAAAAUUGUAGACAAAAAUGGUGGGUUGAAUUUUUUGUAUUGUUCACAUUGUAUUGUUAGGUGUGUUCAUAUUGUAUGUUCACAUGUAAUGUUAAGCCUAUAUAAGGGUUGUGUACUCCAUUUGCAAGAUAUAAAAAAAACAUACA
rnacentral:lncRNA from 1 species